GCUAAGAGAGUAGGAUCAGAGCUAGAUGGGCUGGAGUUGAAUCAGAAUUUUGCCUCCCAUGUCUUGUGUAAAUGGAAACAAGUUGCUUGGGUUUUGGACUCCAGUUUCCCCAUCUGAAUAAUAGAAUAACAAAGUGUUAAACUCAUAGGGCUGAUGAUUAAAUGAGCUAAUAUGAAAACCAUCUGGACAGCGCCUGGCACACAGUACCAAGAGGAGUGUGUGAGGGAGAGAAGGGCGCUGAGGAAUCCUGGAGCUCCGGACCUUGCCUCAUUGAACAUACUGGGCUGGGUCAGCAGGAGGUUCAACUGCCUGUUGCAAAGGCUGCAAGCUUUCCCUGAGACCCGGCUCCCACAGUGCGCUGGCUGCACCGCACCCUGCGACUCCCACUGUCACUCUACAGCAAGCCCAUUAAGAUGAUCAAAGAGUCAUCGGAGAGUUGUGAGCGGCUCUGGAGGGUCCAUGGAAUGUGACUGUGACCUUGGGAGCACAUUUCGUCUUGCCCUGAACCAAACUUCUGAGGGACAAUUCACUGGUAUUUUCAACAGGAUGGAGAAUGUAAGCCCCAUGAAGCAAGGACCAGCAUUGCUGGUGCCUAGCACUCUACCUGGCCCACAGAGACAUUCCGGAAUGACCUUCUGGUAAGUGGAUUUUGCUACAGAUAAAGCAGAUUUCUUUGGGGACGUCUCAGAAAUGAGAUUUUAUUUUUUUUCCAAGUGCAGGGCACAAAAUGACUCUAGGAACUCAUAUAUUAAAUAAGUACCAAUGGGACAUUUAGAGCAUCAUUACUCAUCCCCAGCACAGCUGUGGAAGACACUGAAGAUGUGGCUUUCUACACCAAAGCCAUAUUACAGGAUUUAUUGAUAACUAUCAUCCUAAGUGGAGCAAAGAACCUUCACACAGCUCUAGCAGUGUAGCUACAGGUGUCAGUUUCACUUAAAGUACUGCCUUCCCAUCCAGGGCUCCAUCAGCAUUUUCUCUCCUAACAGCAGCUCACUCCCACUGCUCUGUGAGAACAGGCCAAUAUUCAAGGCAAACUUGACCGGACUGAGUUCAUGUGUGGGAGGGUGAUGUAAUUCACGGACACUCCGCUCGGCUGAGGUGGUAGAGCGGAGAGGGUGGGGCUGGCAGCCGGAAGGCCUGUGUUCUUACUCUGGGCCACAGGCAGCUCACCAUUUAUGUUGAGAUCGAGUGUCCUCAUGUGGAAAAAAGGGCAAAUGAUUCCUGCCCAGUGUGCCUCACCAACCACUGCAGGGUUCAAUUAAGAUAAUGCGCAGAUAAGUGCUUCUGGCCCAGCAUACACACAUGUAAAGAAUAAUUACCUGGGAGCAGCAUGGUGUAGUGGAAAGGGCAGGAGCGUUGGUAUCUGACAGGCCUGGGCUCAAAUCCUGAUUCUGCUACCAAUUAGCUGUGACUUCAGCUCUUUAAAAAUCUCCGUGCUUCAGUUUUGUCGUCUGUGAAAUGGGGGGAACAACACCAACCUUGCCUGUUUAUGAGGGUUAGAGGGAAUGGUGUGUGAGGGGCUCUCGGCACAUAGUCGGUGUAAUAGUAAUAUUUUUCCCAUUCAUUUUACUUGGUCACUUAAUCAGAUAACGCCAUUCUAUCAGUUUUCGAUUGCCGUCAUAACAAAUUACCACAAAUUAAGCUGCUUAAAACAGUACAGAUCUAUUGUCUCACAGAUCUGGAGGUCAGAAAUCCAGCGGGCUCGGUCGGGUUGGUUUCUCUGCCUGUCUCACAGGCUGAAGUCAAGGCGUUGGCAGGUCUACCACCAAGCAGGAUAGUCUGCUUCUGGGCUCAUUCCAUUUGUUGGCAGAACUGAGUUCCAGGUGAUUGUAGGACUGAGGUCCCCCUUCCCUUGCUGGCUGGCGGCUGGGGGAUUGUUCUCAGCUGCUAGGGGCCACCCAGACUGCUUGGCUCGUGCCUCCUUCCUCCAUCUUCAACGCCAGCAGUGGCAGGGGCAGUCCUCACAUUUCAUCACUCUGACCCCCUCUUCUGCCUCUCCCCUUUUUAAAGGCCUAUGUGAUUACACUGGGCUCACCCCGGUAAUCCAGGAUAAUCCACGGUCCUGUCUUCAAGUCAGGAACCUUAAUUUCAUCUGCAAAGCCCCUUUUGCCAUGUAACCAUAUUGUACCAAUGUAAUACAUUCACAGGUUCCAGGGAUGAAAAUAUGGACAUCUUUGGGGGCCAGUAUUCUUCCCACCACAGCCAUAUGUUGAUAUCCUACUGUUUUGUAUGUAUUAACAAUGUCUCCUCUGCAAGAUCUAAUAUUCAAAGUAAUUAGCUCAAUGCCUGGCAUAGAGUAAGCUCUUGACCAAUAUUAGUUUCUGUUUUUGCUAUUGAUAAGCAGAUGACAAUAAGUCUCUUUUUCUCCACAGAUCCUAUCAAACCCACCUGGCUGAGAGAUACCUCCUUUACUGCUUAUCUUCGAUUUUCUCCAGAAAGCCUUUCUGAUCUCAGUGCUUGCCCACCAGGCUGGGUUCAGGGCCAGUCUUCUGUGUUACCGAAUCAUAGUCCUCAUCUUGUUUAAUUGUCCCUGUCUCUUUCCUUGUAACUUUUCUACCAGACUCUGAGCUUUUUGAGGAUAGAAACUAACACUUUUUCUGGUAUCAUUUAGUAGAGUGUCCGGUACAUAGUAGAUACUCAAUAAGUGUUUAUUGAAUAAAUGAAUGACGAGAAAAUCUAUUGCACUCUUAAAAACAAUUGAUCAAAUAACAGCUGGUUGGGAUGCCUCCCUUAAACGAGAGAUACGGAAACAUUCCUUCGAGAAGGGUUAAUGCAUGCACAUGGAUGCCGUACUUCCUAGGAGAAUUAUCUUUACACAGAGGUUUCUUGAAAAAUAAAUAUAGGUGGUGUUCGUGAAUUGUCUAGAUCCAGAUCUUUUGGGGGAAGGCAGUUCUGAAAUUGCUGCAGACUCCUGGCAACUAUUUCACUUGGAGUUUACAGAAUGAUUUUGUCACUUUUUUUCUCUGAAUGCAUCAGGGAACAGACACACACAGUAUUCAAAGAAAGCCACAUCAGCUUGGCUUACUUGUCAUUUGCAUACUUACUGGGACUUAUUAUAUCUAACAGCAAAAUUGGACCCAGUGUUAUUUCUCUUGGAAAUGCACAAGUAGCUCUUCCUUCUGCUUUUUUUCCCCAGUAUGUCGAAUGCUCAUUUUCUAUCCAUUUUGUGAAGUACCCUAACAAUACUGCAAAGAGUUAGGGACAAUAACGAUCAAAUAAGAGCAAGGUUCAUUGGGAAGUACAUUUACUGUUGCUCCAUGCGUGUUUGUUUUCUGUACUUUAAAAUUUUGCCUAUUUCAGUUUGUCAGUCGGCCCACGUUGACUCAGAUCAGCCGGGAGGCCGGCUCGUCUUGCCUGGGCCAGCAUCCUUUCACAGCUGUCUGGAGUUUGGCCGGUCCUUUGCAAUGAUUGCUCCUGCUCAGGGACUUUGGUCUUUUGAUACUUAUUUUUAGGUUCAAUAUAGUCUCCAUUAUUUUAAAGGAACAGUUUUAUUAUCUGAAACGAACAACCACAAAUGGAAAAUUGGAGCCAAAUCACAGGCCUCAGGACCCAGAUGAGGAAUAAAGAAAAAUUGUUUAUAGCCAUAAAUGCUUUCUUUGCAGUUUUCCUUCUGUCUAUCAGGCUGGGGUACGUUUGCUAUGAUCACAGACUGGUGAUUGGGCAUCAGAUUAUGUCUUGGUGUUACAAAUGUGCUGCCCUCUAUUGGGAGUCUGGAAUCCUAAUUUCCUUUGGAUUCAGCACUCCAUUUUGGGAUUGUGGACCAGCUCAGAUGUGAGUCUCGUAUGUAUCAUGGGAUAGUUUUAGUGAAGUCAGUUCUCAACGGCCACCUCUGAUUGAUCUUGCUUGCACAAUUACUUUCAAUUCAGCAAAUAUUUAUUGAACACUCACUGUGUGCCAGACAUCAUGUGAGGCACCUGAUAGAUGCGCAGAUGCCUAAGACGUAGUUCCUGAUUUCAAGAAGCUUAUGACUUGGUAAAGGAGACAGACUUAUACACAAAUAAGUAGAAUAGAAAGCUGACUCUGUGAAGUUCCAUGGCUCCAAGGAAUUUUAAGUGCUGUGUAGGCAGAGGCACGGCCAAGGAGAGUCCGGACUUAGUACUGGACCAAUUGUUGGCUCUGUGCCUGACAUAAGGUAGGUAUUUCACUGUGUGGUGUGCAUGAUUUUGGGAAGGUGACACAAUUAGAACAUGGAGGUCAGGAAGGGCUGCAUAGGAAGGGACGCAACCAGAACCUCAUUGGCAUCUUCUUUUGCUCACGCUCUGAGCCUUACAAGAACCGUGAUGGGUGACUUCAGCAUCAGCACAGUAGGGUGGCAGCAUGAUCAGGAGCAACACACUGAUGGAGUGUCCAGCAAGACCUUGUUCAUGAACAGACAUGGCAGACUGGUGUCACACAUAGCAGUACUGUGCAAGUCUGAAUAUGUGUAUGUAGAGGCCCAGUUUACUGAGUCUGGAGAGCGGGCAAUGGGGGACCCAACCACACCAGCCACCCAGGUCCCUUUCCUAGCCUAGAGUUCUUGCUCCAGUGUGACCCCUCUCUAGGAAUUCACUCCUCCACAAAGUCUCUGAACAAAGAAAAGUUUUAGCUGCAGUUGAGGCAAGCUUUGCAGCAGGGCCUACAAGGCCUUCCUUGAUCUGGGCCUUGACUAUCAUCCGUAUCUCCCCACUUGGAACUGCUCCUCCACCCCUCUGCUUCCUCUGACUGAUCCAAGCUGCUAUAGUUUCUUCUUAUACCUCCAUGCCUUUGCACCACCUUUCUGUCUGCUUGGAAUGACUCUUACAGAAAGGUCCUACAUAUCUUUUAAGAUGUAGCUCAAAGGCUACCUCUUUUGCAAAGCAUACUUUGGCCUUUGUAGACAGUGAAGCAUCCCUCUGAAUCUCCAUAACCCUUGGUCAUAUGUCUGUCCUCGUACUUACUCCAAUUCUCCAACUAGUUGGCUCUAUGGUCAUCUCCCCAGAGGUCAAAUACUCUGUCCUAUUGGUCAUUUUAGUCCUAGGGGCCUAACACAGUGCCUGGCAUGUAGCUAGCAUUUAGUGAAUGAUUUUUUAAUAAAUGAAGUGGAUUUGUUGAAAAACUCUACCCGAAGAAAGGAUUAAUGGAAUGCUUUUUAUCUCUUAUGUAUUAAUGUCUACCACAGUAAGAUGGGCCCAUUCUCCAUAACCUGUAGUGGAUCUCAAGGACUGACAAAGGGAGAACCCUUCUCAGAGAGCGGAGGAAGGAAAAGGCCAAGCAGGCAAAGCCAGAAGGCUCUUUAGCAGACAAGGAGAGCAGGAAAGGGUGUGAAUAUUUGUUCACAGCUGGUCUUGUGAAAUGCCUGAUGAAAAAGGAAUUUGUGUUAGAAUAAUUUUGGGAAAUGCUAUUUACUCUUUUAUAUUCAUUCAUCUCUUCAUUUAACAAAUAUAUUUAAAUGCCUACUAUGUGCUAGGCAUUGGUGUAGACACUAGAGAUACAGCAGUGGACAGCACAGAUCAAAGUCCCUGUCCUCAUGGAUCUUACAUUCUAUCUAGUGUGACAGACAGGCAAUCAAAAAAUAAGAACUUGAAGUUCGUAGUGUUUUAGAGAAGGUAUUAACUACUACGGAGAAAAAAAAUAAAGUGGGAAAGAAUAUUGAAAGUGUUGGGGAGUGGAGUGUUGGAGUUUUGAAGGGGAGGUCAAGGAAGUUCUCAUCAGAAGGUUACAUUUGAGUAAAGACCUGAAAGCAGAGAGGGAAUGAGGUGGGUGACUCUCUGGCUAGAGAGCAAGCCAAAGAGAGGGAGCUGUGUGUGCCCAGGGUUUAGAGAGACGAGUUCGGAGGCCAGUGUGGCUGCAGCCCAGGAAGGAGGGGAGAAGAUGGAAGAUUUGGGUAGAGAGGUCACUGAAGAGUGAUCGUGUAGAGUUUCAGGUCAUAGAAGGACUCUGGCUUUCAUCCUGAGUAAAAGAAGAGGUCAUUGCUCAUCAUUGCCAAAACCCAUCAAAAGAAGGGUUUUGAGGAGAGGAACUGGGCAUGGAGAGAAAGAAUCAGAUGAAAUGGGUAUUUAAGAAGCUUAGAAUCUACAGGGUUUGAUGGCCUGUUAGCUAUUGUGGGUGAUGAACAAGAUUGUAUGAUAACCCUGAGGGUUCUGGCUUAAAUCGGAUUUUCUGUGAUUACCUGCAUCCCUUAGAGAGGGCAACCAAUGCACGCUGCAAACUAACAAUCUAUGCAAUUAACUUUUAUUUUUAACAUGGUUCAAGUUAUAUUCUAAUGAAGAAAAAUGUGAACUGAUUUAAUGUUCAGACAAUGUUCCCUUCCACUUUUGUUAUUCAUAAGUUCAUAUUAGUUUUUUAUUAAUAGAAAAACAUUUUAAAAAGGUACUCGAUAGAGUGACUAUGAUGGACUGCUUGAAUGUGUGGGGGAUUAUCUGGUAUUUUCUUUAAUAUUAACAGCUAUAUUUUGGAAUUGAGGUGUUCUAAUCUUUUAUAUGGAGAGUGCAGAUUUAAAAAAAAAGCAGAUUAUACUGACCUGGAAACCAUUCCUAGUGGUUGGGUUAAGGACCUUGGAUAUACGCUUAGGCCCUGUUCUCCAACAUUGGGAAAAGGUGGCCGACACUUCUAACGUUGCUCAUUUUGAUUUUUCUAUGUUCAGAAUGCUGGUAUUCCUUUGGCUCCUCCAUGGACCCCGGAAAGAAGGCAUGUUUCUCUAGUGUAGCUCUGGGAUGUUUGAAGCCUUUUACCUUUUUAAAUAGCCUCGAGCUUGCAAUAGUGGCAUCUCCCAAAUAGCUUAGGCUCCAAACACCAAAAUGAGAAGCAGAACCAAGUUGUCUAGGGUCUUGUGAAUGAUGCUUAAUGUCACCUCUUGUCUGCUAAUGAGGCACAGAGGAAAGACCUUCAGUUUGACAUCUAGUUAAUUCUUAAGAAUAGAAUGAACAUUUUUUGAGUAGUAAAUAUUGGUUCUGUUCAUAAAUAUUUCUAGUUUUCUUCCCUCUAGGCAUAUUUAGUAGGAUUAAACUUCCCAAUCUGCCUUAUGAAAAAGUAGUCAUGUGACUUACUUUGGCCAAUGAACCGUAAGUGGAAAUGACUUGUCUGGAUGGAAGUCAGUAAGAGCCACUGUAUUAUUUGCCAUGUUCCCUUUCCCUUGUCAUGGCGACCAGUGGUCCUCCAGACGAUGCAGGCUCCAUCAGUUUCUGGUCAUGAGUGAGGCAACAGGAGGAGGAGGCCCUAGUAGAUUUGCAACAUUUUUUGUUUUAAGUGACUGACAUUUGGGGUUGGUUUGUUAUAAAUCCUAUCCUGACUAAUACACUUUUAAUCCUUUAUUUACAUCAUUUUAAAAUGCUGCUUACAUUUUCUGAUUACCAUAUGUUCCUUGUGGAGAAUUUUGAAAAUACAGAAAAGUAUGAAAAAGGAAUAAACAUCCACUGAAAUCACCUACACAGAAAUAAUUUCUGUUAAAAUGUUGAUGUAUUUUCUUUCUUUCUCUCAUAUAUAUAUUAAAUUUUAAAAAUUGGGAUCACAUUACAUAUACAAUAUUGCCUUUUUGCUUCAUAGUAUAUCAUAGUCUUUAAAACACAUAAAUUUGCUGCAUAAUAUUAACUAGUGAAGGAAUGUUGCAAUCUAUUUUUAUAUUUAUAUUGUAUAUUUUAUAUUUAUAUUAUACAAUUUAUAACAAAGUAAUUUUUUUUGUACUUUUUCUUGUACUUUUUUGGACUUUUUCUUGUUGAAAAUAACUUCUCAAUGAAACAUUUGUACCCAGCCUUGCUUGGAUUACUGUUUAUGUCCAUAGGGUGGAUCCUAGAAGGGAAAGGCCAUGGAAUAUGCAUAUUUUCAAGACUUUCGCUACAUAUUGCAGGAUUGCCCAGGAGAAGGGUUGUACCAAUGAGCACUCCAGCAGUGAGAGAUGGGCCAUCUCACCACCCUUGUUGAGUAUUAGAGUUCCUUUUAAUCUCUGUUAAUUUGAUAGGUGAAAAUGCUAUCUUGUUGUUUUAUAUUUGCAUUUCUUUGAUUAUAAGUGAUGUUGAACAUUUAUUUCAUGUGUUUGUGAGUCAUUUGCAUUUUUUCUUCUGGGAAUUGUCUAAAUGGAUUCUCGAGCCCCGCAAACACCAAACUGUUAAGCAGAAAGCAACACAGGAGGCAGGCAGCGCCGCUCGGUUGCCAAGGAGCCUCAGCGUUCGUUUUGAAGUAUGACUGUUCAACAAGCUUCUCUUAUUCCCUCUCAUCUUCUUGUUUUGAUUAUUUUCUCUCCAGUCAUCUCCCUCCACAGGCCAUGUCUCCCUCAAGCCUUCGUCCCCCUCCAAGCAUGUUAUUGCACUGGGCUCCAGUCAUGGCUAAAUCUGAAAUUUUGGAGACAAAGGGACGAAUGUGACCAAAGUUAGUUUUGAGUGAAACAGAAUGAUUGUGGCAAAAUCCAUCACGUGUUCCCCUUACGAAGGUCCCUCCCUACCAACUGAUAUGUUCCCAUGGCAGAGGCAGUGGGCACACCCUCUCCUUGAGGGUCAGUGAUGAAGAGCACAGCCUGCUUCUCUGGCUUUAGGCUUGAAUCCCUGGUGGUAAAGGUGAAAUUACUCUUCCUGGAAGCAUUCUUAUUUAUUUCAUAGAUGUUGCAUUACCCUCGAUUGUCUGUUUGGUGCUUUUAAGAAGGGAGAAGAAAGAAUCUAAAUUUCCCCAAAGUGAGUAUUACUUUUUAGCUAGUGUGAGAUGAAAGACAGAUCGAAAUGGAGCCAGAGAGAGCUGCCCUUCACUCUCCAUCUUCAUUGGAGUUGGAGGCUCACAUUGGUAUGUCAGGCAGCAGCUGGCAGCCUCUUUUAUCAUCAUUAAUUGUCCGCUGAGUUGUCACAAGGAGAGACUAGAAUUCAGGUUUAAUUACAUCUGUAUCAUCUCUGAUAAAGUUCGGGAGAUUCUGGUGGUGCAAAAGAGGCGUGGGCCAGUGAUGUGCCAAGGAUACUCCGUGAAGCAGAAACCGUGUGUAUCCUUGAGGGGAAAGGUGAAUUAACUGAAUUCCGAGGGAAGUAAGGCUUUAUCGAGGCUGGGCAGCUCUCCUGAGAUGUUGUGAAGGGGAGGGGGUAGAAGGGAAGCCGCUAGUGGCAUUGAGCUGGUUAAGGGUAAUUUAGUUUCUAUGGGGCAGGUGUAGGGGGCCUUCCCAGGGAACAAGCAAAGAUUCGUUGAAGGAAAUUUCCUCGUUAUUAUGGAUAAUAACCUACUGCCAGUCAGGGAGCAAAGAAAUACAUUAGGUUUUAGAUAAAACAGUGGCAUUCCCACUUCUUUUAUGGGCUAGAUCUCUUUGGAUGGGCUCUGAUUUAGUCCUGGAAAUACUGGUGCAGAGUGAGGCUUAAGGGACAACGAAGCUGGCUUUGGCUACAGCGAGAACUGAUGGGCAGCUUAAGGGAAAUUGCAAGGGGCAGGUGGCACGGGAGCUGAGAGUAUCGGAAGCUCAUUGUUUCACGAAAGAAGUCAGCAAGUGCUAAGAGCCUUUGCUGCACUUGUGACAAUGGCCCCCCUGCCUAGCUUAGCCCACAAGGUCUCCUGAUCGUUUAUCAACCCUUAGGGUCCUCUCGUUCUGCUUCUGGUCCUUUAGUUACUGAGCAACAUCUGAGCUUUGUACCUCAGGUAGAGCUGUGGCCCCUGCUCCAUUUCCCUUCAUUGGCGCCUGGGUCUUGUGCUACGAACGUUAACCACUCAGCUUCAUCUCAACUCUCGCUUCCUGAAAGAAAAUCUGAAACCAUCUCAUGAGCCAUCUCUUGUGGAAUUAAGUGCUUUCAAAGAAUCAUAUAGAUAGGCCAUCUGGCCCUCUGCUUUUCAAAAGGAUAAUUUCAGUGCUACUCCCACAUCUUAAGAAGAGCAAUUUAUUUUAGUCCUUAGGCCCUCUUUCAGCCUUAAAAAAAAUAGUAGGUCACGUAAAUGAAACCUGAGAAAUCUAAAAAUAAUAAUUGUAUUUGUGUGCAUGUGUCUCUGUAAUACUACACACAACAAAAGGGUUUUGUACACAUUUGAAGUCUCCAGUAAGAGAAACUCUUCCCAAUCUGAAGUUUGUGGUCUCUUAUGUUAAGCUUCUCAUUCAAACCACAAAACUAAUCUUUGCUCUGAUUUUUAUAGCCAGGAACAAAACUCACAGGGGUAACUUUGGAAAAACAAGUAAAUCAAAUUCAGAGCUCUAAGAAUUUAAAAUACAUGUUGACCAAGAACAGAUACAUAAGAGGAUUAAAACAGAAUACGAGAUAUAUAUAGGCAUACCAGAGUUUGCAUUGAUUGGAAGUUUCUUGAAGCCAGAGGCUCUACAUUUGUACUUCUAUCCAACAAUCCUAGGCACAGGGUAGCUGCUCAACAAAUAUGUAUGGAAUGUGGAAAGUAUUUAUUGAAUGUGUU